rnacentral:rRNA from 1 species
AGUGAACGCUGGCGGUAGGCCUAACACAUGCAAGUCGAACGGCAGCACAGUAAGAGCUUGCUCUUACGGGUGGCGAGUGGCGGACGGGUGAGGAAUACAUCGGAAUCUACUUUUUCGUGGGGGAUAACGUAGGUAAACUUACGCUAAUACCGCAUACGACCUACGGGUGAAAGCAGGGGAUCUUCGGACCUUGCGCGAUUGAAUGAGCCGAUGUCGGAUUAGCUAGUUGGCGGGGUAAAGGCCCACCAAGGCGACGAUCCGUAGCUGGUCUGAGAGGAUGAUCAGCCACACUGGAACUGAGACACGGUCCAGACUCCUACGGGAGGCAGCAGUGGGGAAUAUUGGGCAAUGGGCGCAAGCCUGAUCCAGCCAGACCGCGUGGGUGAAGAAGGCCUUCGGGUUGUAAAGCCCUUUUGUUGGGAAAGAAAAGCAGCAGGUUAAUACCCCGCUGUUCUGACGGUACCCAAAGAAUAAGCACCGGCUAACUUCGUG